AUCACCUGGGGAUCUUGUUAAAAUGCACAUUCUGAUUCAGUGGAUUGAGUGUGGGGCCUAAGAUUCUGUAUUACUAAGAAGCUCUCAGGUGAUGCUGG
rnacentral:pre_miRNA from 1 species